rfam:TPA: Bos taurus chromosome 23, whole genome shotgun sequence.
CCAAAGGCUCUUUUCAGAGCCACUUAAAAGCCCUUGGAAGAACUG